AGAGUUUGAUCCUGGCUCAGGACGAGCGCUGGCGGCGUGCCUAAUACAUGCAAGUAGAACGCUGAAGAGAGGAGCUUGCUCUUCUUGGAUGAGUUGCGAACGGGUGAGUAACGCGUAGGUAACCUGCCUUGUAGCGGGGGAUAACUAUUGGAAACGAUAGCUAAUACCGCAUAACAAUGGAUGACCCAUGUCAUUUAUUUGAAAGGGGCAAAUGCUCCACUACAAGAUGGACCUGCGUUGUAUUAGCUAGUAGGUGAGGUAACGGCUCACCUAGGCGACGAUACAUAGCCGACCUGAGAGGGUGAUCGGCCACACUGGGACUGAGACACGGCCCAGACUCCUACGGGAGGCAGCAGUAGGGAAUCUUCGGCAAUGGGGGCAACCCUGACCGAGCAACGCCGCGUGAGUGAAGAAGGUUUUCGGAUCGUAAAGCUCUGUUGUAAGUCAAGAACGAGUGUGAGAGUGGAAAGUUCACACUGUGACGGUAGCUUACCAGAAAGGGACGGCUAACUACGUGCCAGCAGCCGCGGUAAUACGUAGGUCCCGAGCGUUGUCCGGAUUUAUUGGGCGUAAAGCGAGCGCAGGCGGUUUGAUAAGUCUGAAGUUAAAGGCUGUGGCUCAACCAUAGUUCGCUUUGGAAACUGUCAAACUUGAGUGCAGAAGGGGAGAGUGGAAUUCCAUGUGUAGCGGUGAAAUGCGUAGAUAUAUGGAGGAACACCGGUGGCGAAAGCGGCUCUCUGGUCUGUAACUGACGCUGAGGCUCGAAAGCGUGGGGAGCGAACAGGAUUAGAUACCCUGGUAGUCCACGCCGUAAACGAUGAGUGCUAGGUGUGGGAUCCUUUCCGGGAUUCAGUGCCGCAGCUAACGCAUUAAGCACUCCGCCUGGGGAGUACGACCGCAAGGUUGAAACUCAAAGGAAUUGACGGGGGCCCGCACAAGCGGUGGAGCAUGUGGUUUAAUUCGAAGCAACGCGAAGAACCUUACCAGGUCUUGACAUCCCGAUGCUAUUUCUAGAGAUAGAAAGUUACUUCGGUACAUCGGUGACAGGUGGUGCAUGGUUGUCGUCAGCUCGUGUCGUGAGAUGUUGGGUUAAGUCCCGCAACGAGCGCAACCCCUAUUGUUAGUUGCCAUCAUUCAGUUGGGCACUCUAGCGAGACUGCCGGUAAUAAACCGGAGGAAGGUGGGGAUGACGUCAAAUCAUCAUGCCCCUUAUGACCUGGGCUACACACGUGCUACAAUGGUUGGUACAACGAGUUGCGAGUCGGUGACGGCAAGCUAAUCUCUUAAAGCCAAUCUCAGUUCGGAUUGUAGGCUGCAACUCGCCUACAUGAAGUCGGAAUCGCUAGUAAUCGCGGAUCAGCACGCCGCGGUGAAUACGUUCCCGGGCCUUGUACACACCGCCCGUCACACCACGAGAGUUUGUAACACCCGAAGUCGGUGAGGUAACCUUUUGGAGCCAGCCGCCUAAGGUGGGAUAGAUGAUUGGGGUGAAGUCGUAACAAGGUA
rnacentral:rRNA from 1 species